rnacentral:rRNA from 1 species
AUAAUAAUUAGUCUUUUAAUUGAAGGCUGGCAUGAAUGAUUGGACAAAAUAUAAACUGUCUUUAUUUAAAUUUAAUAUUGAAUUUAAUUUUUAAGUUAAAAAGCUUAAAUUUUUUUAAAGGACGAGAAGACCCUAUAGAGUUUAAUAUUAAUUUAAUUAUUAAAUUUAAAUUUAUGUUUUUUAUUUAAAAUAAUAUUUUAUUGGGGUGAUAGGAAAAUUUAAUAAACUUUUUUAUUUUUGUCUACAUUGAUAAAUGAAAUUUUGAUCCUAAAUUUUAGAAUAAUAGUUUAAAUUACCUUAGGGAUAACAGCGUAAUUUUUUUUAGAGUUCUUAUCGAUUUAAAAGAUUGC